rnacentral:rRNA from 1 species
CUUAGGGAUGAACGCUGGCGCGUGCUUAACACAUGCAAGUCGAACGGAGUUUUAACGAAGUCUCGGAUGGAAGUUAGAACUUAGGUGGCGGACGGGUGAGUAACGCGUGGGUAACCUGCCUCAUACAGGGGGAUAACAGUUAGAAAUGACUGACUAACACCGCAUAAUAUAGCGAAACCGCAUGAUUUUGCUAUCAAAUAUUUAUAGGUAUGAGAUGGGCCCGCGUCUGAUUAGCUAGUUGGUGGGGUAAAGGCCUACCAAGGCGACGAUCAGUAGCCGGCUUGAGAGAGUGACCGGCCACAUUGGGACUGAGACACGGCCCAAACUCCUACGGGAGGCAGCAGUGGGGAAUAUUGGACAAUGGGGGAAACCCUGAUCCAGCGAACCGCCGCGUGAGUGAAGAAGUAUUUCGGUAUGUAAAGCUCUAUCAGCAGGGAAGAUAAUGACAGUACCUGACUAAGAAGCCCCGGCUAACUACGUGCCAGCAGCGGC